ensembl:lncRNA
CAAAGUUAUAAAGGGCCUCAAAAGACAUCAAGCUUGACAACUGCUUCACAGUCCAAGUGGCAUCUGGUAUUCACCAGACAACUAGAAAUCUAGCAGCACAUCUAACUGCACAUCUUUAGAGCAGUCUAUUAGAGCAUGGACUUCUUUUUCCAUGGUGAAGAAAGCCUGUUAGUGAGAAACACAAUACCAGCACCACCGCUUGGUUCUUGGAUUACUUCAACUCUUAUUCCAAGGACAGAAGAGUUGUAAACUCUUUGCAAUCUUUAGUAUUUAUUUUUCCUUUAUCUGUUUUUAUCCUUGUUUUUCCUUGGGGACAGACAUCCAAAAUAGUUUUAAUUAAUUUUAGGAUUUGAAAACGCAGUUAGGCAUGUUCAAUAUAAGCAACAGCAGGUAAUCCCAGAAAAGUGCCAGAAAACUUUAUAGUUUUACAUAGUCCCAAACAAUAGUCUGAUAAAUUUACUUUCGAGAAAAGGAAAGUAUUAGCCACCGCGGAGGAACAGAAAUGAAAGGAGACCUUCAUAACUUUCUCAGAAGUUUGGUUUAGGUAUUAAAAAUGUUUUUUGUUCCUCUAUCAAAAUAUUAACCACUUCUCUGUUAGAGAUUCAACUACCCCAAAUAGUUUGGGAUUUACAGUCAUAGGGUUUAUAAUUAUUUAGGGUUUACAGUCAGUCUGUUGCACUGAUGACCUGAUGAUUUAAUUAAUUUCAGGAUUUAAUUCCAAUCCAAUAUAUCAAUAUCUAAUAAACACCCAUAUAAUAUAAAAAAAUACUUCAGCUGAUAGUCAUUCGGUGAGUGUACUACCUCAGCUUUCUCUUUCACUUAAUGCUAGUGAUACCAGCCCAAAUUUGGUUUCUUGUUUUUGUUUUUUUCUAGAGAAAAAGUUAAUAAUUGUUUAAUGUGAAUAAUAAAUUAAUAAUAAGUAACGGACCCAGAACCUCAGCAGAUUGAAUGAAUAUUAACUGGUCAAGGCAGAAACCUGAUGGACCCCUUAAUUAGUAUUUGGUUCUCUCGUAUAUUCUACUCAUAGGUCAUACUCGCAGAUCACGGUCAAUCACAUUCUCACUCAGACUACAGAUCUGUACAUUAGAAGAACAAGGCACCCUCCCAAAAGAUGUCCAAGAAAUCAUCUAUGUUCUUCGUAGUACGACCUUCCUAUGGCACUGGGCAAUAACCUGUGCCUGCCAAAAACUGCUCCUAACACAACCAAAACCAGACCAGACAAUAUCCCUAUUAAGCUUCAAGAAGCCUCUGAGAUUGUGGGAAAUACACCAGCCAGUUGAAGGAGAGAAAUGUGGAAAUACGAGAAGUAAUAAUGGAGUGAAAGACAGGGCUGGAGGAAGAGCCACAAAAGCCUGACAUGUGGAAAGGAUGAAGAGCAAAUGAUACGGGGAAGGACAUAGAGGUCAGAGAGCCCCUGUGAGGUGGGAAGGUGGGAAACAGAACUGGCCAUGUCCAGGCACCGGAAGGGCACACGCAGCCUCUGGCAUAAUGAAGGAGAGAGGGGCGCUUCAGGGGAUUCCUGAAAAUCCCCUGAAUGGGGAUUUGAAGAAUGGGAGAGUGAUAGAGCAGACCUUUGCAAGAGACAGACAAAUACAAGAACUGCUUCGUGUAAGGAAUGAGGAUGGCCUAAAAAACAUGAUCCUGAAGUAUUUGUCACCCUGAAUAGUGACAAUUUAUUACCAUAUGAGACUGCCUGAAAAAAAUAAUCCUACGUGAGCUUACAAACAACCUUUGCAUUAAAAGUAUAACAAAUAAAAGUGUUGGCAACAGACUGUUGUUAUCUCCU